rnacentral:RNase_P_RNA from 17 species
GGAGACUGACAAAGGGGAGGAAAGUCCGGGCUUCAUAGAGCAAGGUGCCAGGUAACGCCUGGGGGGCGCAAGCCUACGACAAGUGCAGCAGAGAGAAGACCGCCGAUGGCCCGCAAGGGAACAGGUAAGGGUGAAAGGGUGCGGUAAGAGCGCACCGGACGACUAGUAAUAGUUCGUAGCAGGGUAAACUCCACCUGAAGCAAGACCAAAUAGGCCUCCACAUUGCGUUGCUCGCGUAAGGAGGCGGGUAGGUUGCUCGAGCCAGUGAGUGAUUGCUGGCCUAGACGAAUGGCUACCGCCGCGCAAGCGGAACAGAACCCGGCUUAUGUGUCGGCUCCACCU